GAAGUCACGUGAUCAUGAUUUCUGAUGCUCCCUGUCAGCUUCCCACAAGCAAAUCAAUGGGGAAGUUGCUCCCUCUCCCACUGCUUUUUUGCUUACCCAUGGCCAUUCUGUCCUCUAUUUAGACGUAUGGGUGCAUCGGGUGUGCCAGUCCUUGACAACCAGAGAGUGACAUCAGGGAAACCAUUCCACAAAUAUUUACUUAGAAGUCACAUGAAUGGAAAAUGUCCCCAAGGACUGCUGUCCCAGUGUAGCCAGUGGCAUCACUGCCAGUCUCUGUGAUGAUAAUGCUGUAUUUGCAUUCUACCUUUCCUCCAAAUGAAGAUUACAAAACAUGUAAA